rnacentral:rRNA from 1 species
CUACGGGUUGCAGCAGUCAAGAAUAUUCCACAAUGGGCGAAAGCCUGAUGGAGCGACGCCGCGUGCAGGAAGAAGCCCCUCGGGGUGUAAACUGCUUUUAUGAGGGACGAAUUCGUGACGGUACCUUAUGAAUAAGAGGUUGCUAACUCUGUGCCAGCAGCAGCGGUAAUACAGAGACCUCAAGCGUUAUCCGGAUUUACUGGGCGUAAAGCGUCCGCAGGUGGUUUAAUUAGUCAUUGGUCAAAUCCUGGGGCUUAACUUCAGGACUGCUGAUGAUACUGUUAAACUUGAGGCUGGGAGAGGCAAGCGGAACUAUCGGUGUAGUCGUAAUAAGCGCUGAUAUCGAUAGGAACACCAAAGGCGAAGGCAGCUUGCUAGAACAUGCCUGACACUCAGGGACGAAAGCGUGGGUAGCGAAAGGGAUUAGAUACCCUUGUAGUC